GAAGGGAUAGUGGUAGAGCAUAUGCUUAGCAUGCACAAGGUCCUGGGUUCAAUUCCCAGUACCUCCA
rnacentral:tRNA from 1 species